rnacentral:tmRNA from 1 species
GGGGCUGAUUCUGGAUUCGACGGGAUUUGCGAAACCCAAGGUGCAUGCCGAGGGGCGGUUGGCCUCGUAAAAAGCCGCAAAAAAUAGUCGCAAACGACGAAAACUACGCUUUAGCAGCUUAAUAACCUGCUUAGAGCCCUCUCUCCCUAGCCUCCGCUCUUAGGACGAGGAUCAAGAGAGGUCAAACCCAAAAGAGAUCGCGUGGAAGCCCUGCCUGGGGUUGAAGCGUUAAAACUUAAUCAGGCUAGUUUGUUAGUGGCGUGUCCGUCCGCAGCUGGCAAGCGAAUGUAAAGACUGACUAAGCAUGUAGUACCGAGGAUGUAGGAAUUUCGGACGCGGGUUCAACUCCCGCCAGCUCCACCA